GUUAGCUGUGUUGAGCUGCCUGUGAAAAAAAUCACCUAGAAGGUCUUUAUGGCAGUUUGUUAAAGACAAAAAAAUCACAACCACCAAAUUAUUCCUAAACUCAGACUUUGGUGAGGUAUGUGAGUAUUACAUGAUUCCCAGCUCUUCUCCAAACAAGAUGGAAACAUCUGUAAGUUUUUUCAAGGUGUGAAAUGAAGUCUUAAGAAUAUCAGCAUAAGUUCCCUUCAGAGGAGAGGAUAUCUGUAGGAGGUGCAUACAAUGCUAAUUUAAAAACUAUCAAGCAGGAGUCCUGAAAAAUAUCAAUGCCGAAAAAUAUCAA